ensembl:lncRNA
GUAAAACUUGAAUAAGUUUAACAAAUAAAACUUUUUUCACUUAUUGGUUAAUUAAAUCCUCAAAAUAUGUUUUAUUUAACUGGGCUCUUAUGAAUUUAGACAAUGAUAAGCAAAGUAUAAAAAAUGUUUGCAACAUCCGUCCUUCCCUAAAGCUAUAAUGUCUGUCAGUAUCAAUUAAAUUAUUCAUUAUUCAAUUAGUCAUGUAAGAUAAAUGCAUGCCGAUUCAAAAAAAAACCAUUUAAGAAUUAUGCAUUAACUGCGCAAAAUAAUGUAAAAUCAGACAUUUAUUUCGUCUUAUACGUCUGUUUAAUUGUGAUCCCUAGUUGAGUUACUAGCUGAGAAUGAUUAGCCUGCGUUAAUAAAAUCAAAUUAAUAUAGAUAAUUGAUGUGCAGUUAAUGCUUGUCGACUGUUUUUAAUGUCAGUCAGCGUUUUAGGAUGUAAUAUAACAUACUGUACAAAUAGGAAGUUUAAUGUCUGUGCUUUCUAUUUGAUUUCACUGUUCAUUUCCAGUGGUGCUGAAAUUCUGCUUCAGUCAUAAAAACUUUAAACUGCUAUUGUCCCUCGUGUAGUCGGUUUCAGGUUCUUUUAGAGUGACUCCCAAAUUAGUGGAGACACAGCCUGAGUUGAAUAUUAAUAAUUUUAUAUUAAGUCUACUUCGAAAACUGGGCUGGUCAGAUUCAAGGAAUCGACUCUUUUGGAGUCGACUCCUCAUCAGUACUGCGCAUGUGCUUACAAAGAUCAUCACAUCUAUUCGCACGUGGAAGUGAUCGCCGCGGGAAAACUGAGUUUGUCUAGUUCCUCCAUGGUUGUGAGAGGAAAGACAUCAUCCUCUCUGUCCACCAGCAGCACUGGAGCACUGGACCGACUGUUAGCUGCAAGAGACUGGAGCACUGAAGUCAGAUGAUUGAUCUUCAUGUCCAGUUCGUUAAGUGCCUCCAGAAUUGUCCUCUCAACAGCUGCAACACAAUGGGUCUUCACCCCAAGCAUCCUCUUGCUCAUUUUCAUUGGACAAGCUCACUGGAACAGCUGGAGUUAAGAAAGGUGAAGUUGGUGAGUGUUCACCCCAAGUAUCUUGUGGCUCAUCUGCCUGGGAGAAGCUCAUGGGAACAUCUGGAGCUGAGAAUGAUGGAACUGGUAAAUUACUCAUGUAGAGCCUGUUACCUUGACAGCUGGGGAAAGUCUCAAAACGUGCCUGCUGUGGCUUCUCCAUGGCCCUUUGGUGGUGACUAACAAGUGCUGUUGAAAGAAUUGAGGUGCUGGAGCUUUUGGUGCAGGCAGAACUUUUGGUGCGGGCUGGAUUUUUGGUAACUUUCAGAUUCUGAGAUGUCAGAAGUGUAGCAUGCCCUUUUCCAUUUUUUGGAAAUGUUGUCAAAUGAUGCUGAAAUUAUCAAAAAUUCUGGCCUGAUGCUUGGUCCAACCCUUAUCUGGCUGUGGUGCCUCCAUCGACCUGACGCUCUUUAGUAACCGGUCCAAGUCUUUGUAUGGAGGCCACCAUGAGUGGCCAUCUGAGUACCAGGACUUUGCUACAGGACCGGUACUCCCUUCUCCGACGAACUCCACUAUCAGGUACAUGUUCUUUUUGUUGUUGUUGUUUUCUUUAUUUUAGCUGCAACAACCUAAAGCCCCAUAAAGUGUAAAAAUUCUUAUUACAUUUCAGUUUUUCAUAUGCAUGAUUCAGUUACCCUAAAAUAAAAGUAGCAAGUCCAAAAAAAAAAAAAAUUAGUGUGUGUGUAAAAGAGGGACUGAAACAAAAUUACGGUCAUAAGGAACUAAGAAAGCUUUCGCCUCAAUGUUCUCAAACUUGCAGAAAUGUGUUGGUCCUGAGAUGCCAUCAACUAGAUGAAUACCAAGUUCUGAGGAUGGAAGGGGAUAAUCAAAAAAAGGUUCAUGAUUGUUGAAGGUAGUGUAGGCCACGUAAAUGUCAUCCCUCGCUAAAAUUAUAUUUUGCAGCUUUGCAACUUUCCCAUCUAUGUAAACAAAACUGUUGGCCUGGUCCAGUUUAAGAGUGUAAGAAAUGUUUUUAUUUCUUUGUACUGUGAAGAUCCAUGAAAACAUUCAGGUAGAGGGCCAGCCGUGUGUUGUUUUCUGAGCAGUGGUGGGUUGUGUUUUCUCCUUUUUUUUGCUGCAGCUUUGCAUUUCUGAGAACCUUCUCACAAUUUGACUCAGUGGACAUGUAGGUUUCCGCAGGAGUCUCUUCAGCUUGUUAAGGUGAUCCUCGUACUGGAAAGCACUGAAGUUGUCGAGGACACCAUGGUGUUUUGCAUCUUCUGCAAAAUGUACAAGACAGUGGACGUUGUAGGACAGAAAUUUGGGGCCAUAUAGCUGUCCAAAGUGUGUGACAAAAAGUCGCAGAAUAUCAUUGGCAUAGUCGAUGUGAUCACCAAUUAGGCUGUUAUUGCACAAGAUUCCCACAAAAAACAGCAGGAAGUUUUUGUACACCUCCGUGCUGAGUAGGUCUUUCAGCAUAACAGGGCCUGUGCACAAUAAAAACUGUCUAAACCCGGAUUUUUUUGGCACCAACCAACCUUUCUGUCAGCACAGUGGCUUGAAAUCCUGACAGCCUGCAAGUUAGAGGACCCAGUCGAAGCCACAAGUGGAGAAGCCGCCUCAUGACACCAAGGCACACAAGGUGCAUGUAAUCAAGGGGGAAUCCAGAGACCAUAUCCAAGGAUGUUUCUUCUAGAGGUGAGAUGCCAUGGUGGUGAUCUGGAUCAGUCUUAUUUCUGAAGUUGACAUUAUUUCUAAGAGGCAUGUCAUUUCUGUUCUCCAGGUGCACACCAUCCUGAAUGCACUUUUCGCAUCCAUGGUAGCCUGCGUGGCCCUUCACUUUUUUCAGAAAUGCACGUGGAGGUGCUUCGCAAAUCAUUCAGGUAAGCUGUAAAGUUAACUUGAGUCCUUCAAAUUCAAAACCAUGACUUAAGUCUUUUAUUUCACAGAUGAAGUCCUCAAGAUACUCAUCCAGUGAGUUUGGUUUACUAUCACCACAAAAUAAACCUAUUGUCACAGGUUCCUCCUGCACCAAAUGUUGCACAGUUACAAGAAUGGGCCAGAAUUGAGUUGCUGAACUCUUGUAGAGAGGCAGACCAUCGAUGCUCACCUGGAGCUUCAAAUUGCUUACGUUCUGCAAAAUGUCCAUGUUGUUGUAGAGUACACCCGAAAUGGAUUCCAGUAGACCAAAAUAAUAGUACUGGCCACCAGCCUUGUUUUGGACUUCAGUUCUAUUUGAACGGACUGUUCCUAAUAGUGUCCUGGCAUCUUUUGGCAGAUUCAGAUCGUGCUUGCGGAGGAUAUUAAGUAAUGAAUUUAGUGCCACAUGUGUUAUUUGAUGUUCUGUUGCCCAGGUUGCCAAGUCAUCAUUAAGGGAACUUGGAUGCAGUUCAGAAUCUGUGUCUGAGUCUGUGUCAGAUUCACUGCUAUGUGAAGCACUUGCCAUGGUGACACAUUCAGGCUCAUCAGUAUGGGACAAACCGUCCAUAAAGUCAUUGUUGUCAUUAGCGGUGCUGCUUGUAUCACUGUUCAUGCCACCAUACUGUUCCCUGCAUGAUGAUGGUGAUGCUUCCAUUAACUGGAGUUGUUUGUCCACCUUAGCCUUGGCUUUUCUUCGCAAUGUCCAGUAAGAUUGUUUUUUGCAAUCCAUGGUACUGUGAUAUUAACACAAACACAAAAUGCAGUGCACUAACCUGAUAAGCCAAAUGCAGUGGUUCUCAACUCAAGUAUUGGAAGACCCUUGCAUUGCACAUUUUGGAUGUCUUUUACAUGUGGUUCAACUCAUCAUAUAAUAGAAGCCCCUUAAACCCAACAGAGCAUGUUAGAUGGGACAGACAUCCAGAAUGUGUAGUGUUAUAGGUCCCCAAGAUUGGAAUUCAGAACCACUGGCGUAAUGUCUAAUAAUUCUGUCACAAUAAAUACACAUACCUUGGUUUUGAUAGAGUGUGAACUGUGGAUAUCGUCGUUGAGUGAGUGUGGUUGACUGUAGAGAACUUUCUGUAAUUGGGGAAGCAAUAUAACAGGUAAUGUCAGUUUUGUCAUUGUGUUAUAAAGUAUUG